AUUGAACGCUGGCGGCAGGCCUAACACAUGCAAGUCGAGCGGAUGAAGGGAGCUUGCUCCUGGAUUCAGCGGCGGACGGGUGAGUAAUGCCUAGGAAUCUGCCUGGUAGUGGGGGAUAACGUCCGGAAACGGGCGCUAAUACCGCAUACGUCCUGAGGGAGAAAGUGGGGGAUCUUCGGACCUCACGCUAUCAGAUGAGCCUAGGUCGGAUUAGCUAGUUGGUGGGGUAAAGGCCUACCAAGGCGACGAUCCGUAACUGGUCUGAGAGGAUGAUCAGUCACACUGGAACUGAGACACGGUCCCGACUCCUACGGGAAGCAGCAGUGGGGAAUAUUGGACAAUGGGCGAAAGCCUGAUCCAGCCAAGCCGCGGGGGUGAAGAAGGGCUUCGGAUUGUAAAGCACUUUAAGUUGGGAGGAAGGGCAGUAAGUUAAUACCUUGCUGUUUUGACGUUACCAACAGAAGAAGCACCGGCUAACUUCGUGC
rnacentral:rRNA from 1 species